CCCUUGUUUGAUCCUGGCUCAGGAUGAACGCUGGCGGCGUGCCUAAUACAUGCAAGUCGAACGAGGCGCUUUUUGUAGCAAUACGAGGAGCGUCCUAGUGGCGAACGGGUGAGUAACGCGUGGGUGACCUGCCCCAAAGUGUGGGAUAACAGUCCGAAAGGAUUGCUAAUACCGCAUGUGGUCGCUGAGUUUAGAAGUUAGCGACUAAAGCAGCAAUGCGCUUUGGGAGGGACCUGCGUCCCAUCAGCUAGUUGGUAAGGUAACGGCUUACCAAGGCGACGACGGGUAGGGGACCUGAGAGGGUGGCCCCCCACAAUGGAACUGAAACACGGUCCAUACACCUACGGGUGGCAGCAGUAGGGAAUAUUGCACAAUGGGCGAAAGCCUGAUGCAGCAACGCCGCGUGCGCGAAGAAGGUCUUCGGAUCGUAAAGCGCUUUUCUGGGAGAUGAGAAAGGACAGUAUCCCAGGAAUAAGUCUCGGCUAACUACGUGCCAGCAGCCGCGGUAACACGUAGGAGGCGAGCGUUAUCCGGAUUCACUGGGCGUAAAGCGCGUGCAGGCGGUUCGGUAAGUUGGGCGUGAAAUCUCCCGGCUCAACUGGGAGAGGUCGUUCAAUACUACCGGACUUGAGAGCGAUAGAGGAAAAUGGAAUUCCCGGUGUAGUGGUGAAAUGCGUAGAUAUCGGGAGGAACACCAGUGGCGAAAGCGAUUUUCUGGAUCGUUUCUGACGCUCAGACGCGAAAGCUAGGGUAGCAAACGGGAUUAGAGACCCCGGUAGUCCUAGCCGUAAACGAUGUGAACUUGGCGUCGGUGGCUUAAACUCCAUCGGUGCCGAAGCCAACGCGAUAAGUUCACCGCCUGGGGACUACGACCGCAAGGUUAAACUCAAGGAAUUGACGGGGGCCCGCACAAGCAG
rnacentral:rRNA from 1 species